GCCAAACCACGGACACACAGUCCCUCACCAUCUACCAACGCCACAGCAUCCAUCCAUCCAUCCAUCCAUCCAUCCAUCCAUCCAUCAGUGCAUGCAUUGGCACUUGCCAAAUCCUCAAAACCUCAUUCGCAGGGUUAGACAUGUUAAAGUGUUGACCUCCUACGCAGCUGUGAAUAGCAGUGGAAUCCCUUUCCAAGGAUUGUUGAGAGUCUGCUCAGAGAGUGAAGAGUCCGCCGCUUCUCCAGCUGUCCCUUGUCAUCCUCCAGCGUCCUUGACUCUCCACUUCAGGCAGCUCUCGGCCCCACGGGAGCCCUGGGCACUGCCAGCUGAGCCACCUUUGUUGACAGCUCUUUCCCAAGGCCGGCCGUCGACGCUUCGCUUUGUACCCUGGAACAGACAGGCAGAACACAUCACCCCUGAAGAUAAGCAUGGGAACAUUUCAUCAUAGGGAGCACAGGUGACAACGGCGGUCGAAGACAGGUAGAUAUAUUCUAUUAUUCACAGCCCAGCAAGGGCGUCAGAUCUCCCUGGCGAUCGCUACAGAGGCUGGUGUCAGAGGUGACAUCAAAAAGACAAGGGCUUGGUGACAGCCACCGACUACACCACUGUUGAGAUGCAGACUAGCGAAGGCACAGACCCCCCCCCCCCCAUGAUCAAAUGCAGCAAUACUGACAACCAAACGUCCCCUCAGCCAACACACAACAUCCCCAAAGACACAGGAAGGGGAAAAGCAGCUUCAAACUGAUGCACAGAUAGCACAGACAUUUCCACAAAGAAAGGAUCCAAAAACAGAUACCUGGCAGGACAGAGCAGCCAAGGACACGCGGUGAAAAGCUGCAGAGUUAGAGAGGAGUGACACAAACCUGUUGAGCGACUCUUCCUCCCUCCUGCUCGGCUGCUGGGAGGAGGACACUUGUGUCUCGCACAGAGUGGGUUUUGAUCUUUUUGCAUCGGCAUCCGCUUCCUCCAUCUACAAAGGCCAUGAAAGAGAAUGAGUAAUUCAUCUCUCUGUGUGCAUGUGAGCGUGUGUUAGGCUUGACCUAUUUCUGCUGCAAUGACAUGAGGUUGGCAUUUCAGCCUCACAAGUAUGACUGCAGAGACAGGUGUACCGUUGCAUGAGGCGCUUGUUUUCCCCAUGUUGAAAAAGCUCAUGUGCAUUUGAAAAGGCUACAUAUGCGCUUUAAAAAAUUUAAAAUUGUAAAAAUUUUAAUAUGAAUAUUUAUUAAUUAAAGCUCCUGUGAUUACGCAUGCUUCUCCAUCACAAGUC